rnacentral:rRNA from 1 species
UACGUAGGUGGCAAGCGUUGUCCGGAUUUAUUGGGCGUAAAAGGCUUGUAGGUGGCCACGCCAAGUCGGAUGUGAAAUCUCCCGGCUCAACUGGGAGGGGUCAUUCGAUACUGGCGGGCUCGAGGCCGGUAGGGGGAAGUGGAAUUCCCGGUGUAGUGGUGGAAUGCGUAGAUAUCGGGAGGAACACCAGUGGCGAAGGCGGCUUCCUGGACCGGUUCUGACACUGAGGAGCGAAAGCGUGGGGAGCGAUCCGG